GAUGAACGCUGGCGGCGUGCCUAAUACAUGCAAGUCGAGCGAACAGACGAGGAGCUUGCUCCUCUGACGUUAGCGGCGGACGGGUGAGUAACACGUGGAUAACCUACCUAUAAGACUGGGAUAACUUCGGGAAACCGGAGCUAAUACCGGAUAAUAUAUUGAACCGCAUGGUUCAAUAGUGAAAGACGGUUUUGCUGUCACUUAUAGAUGGAUCCGCGCCGCAUUAGCUAGUUGGUAAGGUAACGGCUUACCAAGGCAACGAUGCGUAGCCGACCUGAGAGGAGGGAGAGUAAAAAGGGAACGGUGAAAGGGUGCAGACGACUAGGGGAGGAAGAAGGAGGGAAUAGUGGAAAAGGGGAGAAAUAAUGAAGGAGUAAGGAAGAGGGGGUGAAGAAGGGUUUCGGAUCGGAAAACGAUGUAAGCUGGGAAGAAAGAGAGUGAGGUGAAACCUGGAGGGUGG
rnacentral:rRNA from 1 species